rnacentral:rRNA from 1 species
CUUGCGUCUGAUUAGCUAGUUGGUGUGGUAACGGCACACCAAGGCUACGAUCAGUAACUGGUCUGAGAGGAUGAUCAGUCACACUGGAACUGAGACACGGUCCAGACUCCUACGGGAGGCAGCAGUGAGGAAUAUUGGGCAAUGCUCGAAAGAGUGACCCAGCAACGCCGCGUGGAGGAUGAAGGUAUUCUAUAUCGUAAACUCCUGUGAGAGCAGACGAAAGACAGAUUAUUAAUCUGGAUGACUGUAUGCUCAGAGGAAGCCCCGGCUAACUACGUG